UAAAGACCUGGUCCUGACCUUAUUAUCAGCUUUAACCCAAAUUACACAUGCAAGUCUCCGCAGUCCCGUGAGUACGCCCUCAAUCCUCCACCCGAGGACGAGGAGCGGGCAUCAGGCACAAAUUUUAGCCCAAGACGCCUGGCCGAGCCACACCCCUAAGGGAAUUCAGCAGUGAUAAACAUUAAGCCAUGAGUGAAAACUUGACUUAGUUAGGGUUAACUAGGGCCGGUAAAACUCGUGCCAGCCGCCGCGGUUAAACGAGAGGCCCAAGUUGAUAACACCACGGCGUAAAGGGUGGUUAAGGAAAACAGCACAAUAAAGCCAAAUGGCCCUUUGGCCGUCAUACGCUUCUAGGCACCCGAAGCCCAAUCAUACGAAAGUAGCUUUAAUAUGCCCGCCUGACCCCACGAAAGCUGAGAAACAAACUGGGAUUAGAUACCCCACUAUGCUCAGCCCUAAACUCAGACAUUAAACUUUAAACAUCCGCCCGGGUACUACGAGCAUCAGCUUGAAACCCAAAGGACCUGACGGUGCCUUAGACCCCCCUAGAGGAGCCUGUUCUAGAACCGAUAACCCCCGCUAAACCUCACCACUUCUGGUUAUCCCAGCCUAUAUACCGCCGUCGUCAGCUUACCCUGUGAAGGUAUAAAAGUAAGCGAAAUGGGCACAACCCAAUACGUCAGGUCGAGGUGUAGCGCACGAAGUGGGAAGAAAUGGGCUACAUUUUCUAUUAUAGAAUAUUACGAAUAUAUAACAUGAAAUAGUGCUUGAAGGAGGAUUUAGUAGUAAAAAGGAAACAGAGUGUCCUUUUGAACCCGGCUCUGAGGCGCGUACACACCGCCCGUCACUCUCCCCUAUCAAAACGCAAUAAAUAUUACUAAUACUAAAGCACUGUCAAGGGGAGGCAAGUCGUAACAUGGUAAGUGUACCGGAAGGUGCACUUGGAUUAAACC
rnacentral:ncRNA from 1 species